UACGUAGGGUGCGAGCGUUAAUCGGAAUUACUGGGCGUAAAGCGUGCGCAGGCGGUUUUGUAAGCCAGGUGUGAAAUCCCCGGGCUCAACCUGGGAAUGGCAUUUGGGACUGCAAGGCUGGAGUGCGGCAGAGGAGACUGGAAUUCCUGGUGUAGCAGUGAAAUGCGUAGAUAUCAGGAGGAACACCGAUGGCGAAGGCAGGUCUCUGGGCUGACACUGACGCCCAUGCACGAAAGCGUGGGGAGCAAACAGG
rnacentral:rRNA from 1 species